rnacentral:rRNA from 1 species
CUGGCGGCGUGCUUAACACAUGCAAGUCGAACGGAAAGGCCCUGCUUUUGUGGGGUGCUCGAGUGGCGAACGGGUGAGUAACACGUGAGUAACCUGCCCUUGACUUUGGGAUAACUUCAGGAAACUGGGGCUAAUACCGGAUAGGAGCUCCUGCUGCAUGGUGGGGGUUGGAAAGUUUCGGCGGUUGGGGAUGGACUCGCGGCUUAUCAGCUUGUUGGUGGGGUAGUGGCUUACCAAGGCUUUGACGGGUAGCCGGCCUGAGAGGGUGACCGGCCACAUUGGGACUGAGAUACGGCCCAGACUCCUACGGGAGGCAGCAGUGGGGAAUAUUGCACAAUGGGCGGAAGCCUGAUGCAGCAACGCCGCGUGCGGGAUGACGGCCUUCGGGUCGUAAACCGCUUUCGCCUGUGACGAAGCGUGAGUGACGGUAAUGGGUAAAGAAGCACCGGCUAACUACGUGCCAGCAGCCGCGGUGAUACGUAGGGUGCGAGCGUUGUCCGGAUUUAUUGGGCGUAAAGGGCUCGUAGGUGGUUGAUCGCGUCGGAAGUGUAAUCUUGGGGCUUAACCCUGAGCGUGCUUUCGAUACGGGUUGACUUGAGGAAGGUAGGGGAGAAUGGAAUUCCUGGUGGAGCGGUGGAAUGCGCAGAUAUCAGGAGGAACACCAGUGGCGAAGGCGGUUCUCAGGGCCUUUCCUGACGCUGAGGAGCGAAAGCGUGGGGAGCGAACAGGCUUAGAUACCCUGGUAGUCCACGCUGUAAACGGUGGGUACUAGGUGUGGGGUCCAUUCCACGGGUUCCGUGCCGUAGCUAACGCUUUAAGUACCCCGCCUGGGGAGUACGGCCGCAAGGCUAAAACUCAAAGGAAUUGACGGGGCCCCGCACAAGCGGCGGAGCACGCGGAUUAAUUCGAUGCAACGCGUAGAACCUUACCUGGGUUUGACAUGGAUCGGGAGUGCUCAGAGAUGGGUGUGCCUCUUUUGGGGUCGGUUCACAGGUGGUGCAUGGCUGUCGUCAGCUCGUGUCGUGAGAUGUUGGGUUAAGUCCCGCAACGAGCGCAACCCUUGUUCACUGUUGCCAGCACGUUAUGGUGGGGACUCAGUGGAGACCGCCGGGGUCAACUCGGAGGAAGGUGGGGAUGACGUCAAGUCAUCAUGCCCCUUAUGUCCAGGGCUUCACGCAUGCUACAAUGGCUGGUACAGAGAGUGGCGAGCCUGUGAGGGUGAGCGAAUCUCGGAAAGCCGGUCUCAGUUCGGAUUGGGGUCUGCAACUCGACCUCAUGAAGUCGGAGUCGCUAGUAAUCGCAGAUCAGCAACGCUGCGGUGAAUACGUUCCCGGGGCUUGUACACACCGCCCGUCAAGUCAUGAAAGUUGGUAACACCCGAAGCCGGUGGCCUAACCGUUGUGGGGGAGCCGUCGAAGGUGGGACUU